GACGAACGCUGGCGGCGUGCUUAACACAUGCAAGUCGAACGGAAAGGCCCUGCUUUUGUGGGGUGCUCGAGUGGCGAACGGGUGAGUAACACGGGAGUAACCUGCCCUUGACUUUGGGAUAACUUCAGGAAACUGGGGCUAAUACCGGAUAGGAGCUCCUGCUGCAUGGUGGGGGUUGGAAAGUUUCGGCGGUUAGGGAUGGACUCGCGGCUUAUCAGCUUGUUGGUGGGGUAGUGGCUUACCAAGGCUUUGACGGGUAGCCGGCCUGAGAGGGUGACCGGCCACAUUGGGACUGAGAUACGGCCCAGACUCCUACGGGAGACAGCAGUGGAGAAUAUUGCACAAUGGGCGGAAGCCUGAUGCAGCAACGCCGCGUGCGGGAUGACGGCCUUCGUGUUGUAAACCGCUUUCGCCUGUGACGAAGCGUGAGUGACGGUAAUGGGUAAAGAAGCACCGGCUAACUACGUG
rnacentral:rRNA from 1 species